UACGUAGGGGGCAAGCGUUACUCGGAAUUACUGGGCGUAAAGGGCAGGUAGGUGGCCUGAUAAGUCUGUUGUGAAAGCUCCCGGCUUAACUGGGAGAGGUCAACGGAUACUGUUGGGCUUGAGUGUAGGAGAGGGUACUGGAAUUCCCGGUGUAGCGGUGAAAUGCGUAGAUAUCUGAAGGGACAUCAGUGGCGAAAGCGACUUCCUGGACGAAUACUGGCGCUCAUGUGCGAAAGCGUGGGGAGCAAACAGG
rnacentral:rRNA from 1 species